rnacentral:rRNA from 1 species
CACGUAGGGACCAAGCGUUGUCCGGAUUCAUUGGGCGUAAAGAGCUCGUAGGCGGCUCAGUAAGUCGGGUGUGAAACCUCCAGGCUCAACCUGGAGACGCCACCCGAUACUGCUGUGGCUAGAGUCCAGUAGGGGAGCGUGGAAUUCCUGGUGUAGCGGUGAAAUGCGUAGAUAUCUGGAGGAACACCGGUGGCGAAGGCGGCAUCCUGGACCGGCAUUGACGCUGAGGCGCGAAAGCCAGGGGAGCAAACGGG